AUUGAACGCUGGCGGCAUGCCUUACACAUGCAAGUCGAACGGCAGCACGGUAAGUUGCAGCUCUUAGCGGGGGCGAGUCGCGUAAGGGAGAGAUCUACAUCGGUCUUUACUUUUGCGUGAGGGAUAAGGUAGGGGAACUUACGCCACUACCGCACACGAGCUACGGGUGAAAGCCGGGCACCUUUGGAGCUUGCGCGAUUGAAUGAGGCGAUGUCGGAUUAGCUAGUUGGCGGGGUAAAGGCCCACCAAGGCGACGAUCCGUAGCUGGUCUGAGAGGACGACCAGCCACACUGGGACUGAGACACGGCCCAGACUCCUACGGGAGGCAGCAGUGGGGAAUGUUGGACAAUGGGCGCAAGCCUGAUCCAGCCAUGCCGCGUGUGUGAAGAAGGCCUUCGGGUUGUAAAGCCCUUUUGUCGGGAAAGAAAAGCUUCAGGCUAAUACCUCGGUGUUAUGACGGUACCCGAAGAAUAAGCACCGGCUAACUACGUG
rnacentral:rRNA from 1 species